rnacentral:rRNA from 1 species
UGGGGAAUAUUGGACAAUGGGCGCAAGCCUGAUCCAGCCAUGCCGCGUGAGUGAUGAAGGCCUUAGGGUUGUAAAGCUCUUUCGCCAGGGACGCGGUACCUGGAUAAGAAGCCCCGGCUAACUUCGUGCCAGCAGCCGCGGUAAUACGAAGGGGGCUAGCGUUGUUCGGAAUUACUGGGCGUAAAGCGCAUGUAGGCGGAUUAUUAAGUCAGGGGUGAAAUCCCGAGGCUCAACCUCGGAACUGCCUUUGAUACUGGUAAUCUUGAGUCCGGGAGAGGUGAGUGGAACUCCGAGUGUAGAGAUGAAAUUCGUAGAUAUUCGAAAGAACACCAAUGGCGAAGGCGGCUCACUGGCCCGGUACUGACGCUGAGAUGCGAAAACGUGGGGAGCAAACAGGAUUAGAUACCCUUGUAGU